UUUGGACAUAUACCUUCUUUUCCUUUUAGCUAUUGUGUGCAACAAUCUCCUUUUUCUAUUUGUGUAUUCUAUUGAAGUAUGUAUACCCCUUUAGCAAUUUAUAUCCUCUAAUUUUUGAGAAGUUCCGAAAAUAACAAAACUUUACAGGCUGAAACUGUGUAAAGUUUGUGAAACAACUGACAACUUAAAAGUUUUUCCCCCUUUUUGUUUUGAGAUUGAUGACCAACUGAUUGCUCAAAUUGCUUUCUUUGCUACGAUGCUAUAAACCUGUCCCACAACUUCUAGAGUAAAAUUG
rnacentral:misc_RNA from 1 species